GAACGCUGGCGGCGUGCCUAAUACAUGCAAGUCGAGCGAAUGGAUUGAGAGCUUGCUCUUAUGAAGUUAGCGGCGGACGGGUGAGUAACACGUGGGUAACCUGCCCAUAAGACUGGGAUAACUCCGGGAAACCGGGGCUAAUACCGGAUAAUAUUUUGAACUGCAUGGUUCGAAAUUGAAAGGCGGCUUCGGCUGUCACUUAUGGAUGGACCCGCGUCGCAUUAGCUAGUUGGUGAGGUAACGGCUCACCAAGGCAACGAUGCGUAGCCGACCUGAGAGGGUGAUCGGCCACACUGGGACUGAGACACGGCCCAGACUCCUACGGGAGGCAGCAGUAGGGAAUCUUCCGCAAUGGACGAAAGUCUGACGGAGCAACGCCGCGUGAGUGAUGAAGGCUUUCGGGUCGUAAAACUCUGUUGUUAGGGAGGAACAAGUGCUAGUUGAAUAAGCUGGCACCUUGACGGUACCUAACCAGAAAGCCACGGCUAACUACGUGCCAGCAGCCGCGGUAAUACGUAGGUGGCAAGCGUUAUCCGGAAUUAUUGGGCGUAAAGCGCGCGCAGGUGG
rnacentral:rRNA from 1 species